rnacentral:tRNA from 1 species
GGGGUUGUGACUCAGCAGUAGAGUGCUCGCCUAGCACGUGUGAGGCCCUGGGUUCGAUCCUCAGCACCA